rnacentral:rRNA from 1 species
CAGUAGCCGCGGGAAUACGUAGGUGGCAAGCGUUGUCCUGAAUUAUUGGGCGUAAAGGGCUCGCAGGCGGUUUCUUAAGUCUGAUGUGAAAGCCCCCGGCUCAACCGGGGAGGGUCAUUGGAAACUGGGAAACUUGAGUGCAGAAGAGGAGAGUGGAAUUCCACGUGUAGCGGUGAAAUGCGUAGAGAUGUGGAGGAACACCAGUGGCGAAGGCGACUCUCUGGUCUGUAACUGACGCUGAGGAGCGAAAGCGUGGGGAGCGAACAGGAUUAGAUACCCCCGUAGUCCCUGUCUCUUAUAC